GCUGGGUGUGGUGGUGCACACCUGCAGUCCCAGCUGCUUGGGAGGCUGAGACAGGAGGACUGCUUGAGCCUGGGAGGUCAAGUCUGUAGUGAGCUAUGAUCACGCCACUGCAUUCCAGCCUGGGCAACAGAGCAAGAACCUGUCUCUA
ensembl:misc_RNA Metazoa_SRP Metazoan signal recognition particle RNA